CACAACUUGUACAAGUUUUAACGACGAAGAUUCUACUGAUAUUUCUACUUAAAAUUUAAGAAGUGAAAAAAAACUGAAAAUGGGAAGAAAGAAAAUUUCGAUAACGAGAAUAAAUGAUGAGAGAAAUCGUCAGGUGACAUUCACCAAAAGAAAGUUUGGUCUGAUGAAGAAGGCGUAUGAGCUGAGUGUGCUGUGUGACUGUGAGAUCGCUACCGCCGAAUCGACCAGGAGUACGCCCGAGUGAUGACAGGAACUCAAAAGCCAGUCCUGUACCAGCAGCCCAUGCCAGUAUCAGUUCCGGUGCAGGGAGGGAGUUUCCCCCAAACCAGUCAACAGCAGGGCGCUGGGGGCUCGGUGGUCUUACUGCAACCAUCAACAGCUCACACCUCCAUCCAGCAACCAACAGCAACCAAAGUCUCUCCCUCGGUAACAGCAACCAAAACAUCUCCUAGCCAACAAACCCAGGACCUGUCUCCAAACUCUGCUGCUAAGGAAACCGAUUUCGGCCAAGGAAAAGGAAAACCUAAUCUACGAGUUGUCAUUCCAGCAAAAUCUGAAACACAAACAGCUAAAUCUCAAUCCACGUCCCUCGACACUCCUCAGAUUUCCCAAGCUACUCCCAGUACACAACUAGCGUCUGUCCUUCCAUCAGCAAUGUUACCCACUGACUUGCAGAUAAACAGUGCUGACCUGGCCAAGCUUUUGGGGUCAGCAUUUACCGGAGGGGAAGGGAUUCCAGGGCCGCUCACUGCUGCCGUGCAGGCUUCUGGAAUAUCCCUUACACCCAGUGGAUUAACCCCUACUACCAGCUUACAGAACCUGAUAAUUCCUCUAUCACAUGCGCAGGCCCUCCAGAUGCAGCUAUCUGGCAAAAAUGUCAAAGCAGAACCAUCCUCACCCCAGGACAAAGGGGGGUCGUCUGAGGAUGAAGGGCCCCCAGAAAAACAACCACGCAUGUCAUCUGACCGAUGACAGUAUCCAUUGUUUGUGAAAAUAUUUGACUGAAAAUCAUGUUUCAUGCACAAAAUGUUAUUGGCUUUUGUCCCUGCAGUGUUUUAUUUCUUAAAUUAUAUCCUGACAGGGUCAUGAACAUUGUUCAAGAAAAAAUGUCAUCAUUUUCUGUAGAUAAGAUUUGUAACAUUUGAGAUUCUGCAUUGGAGGUUUUAUUUGGGGAGGAUAACACCCAUGAAUUUUAGUGCUGAGAUAAGUCAGGCCUGUGGUACAUUGUUGUUGUGUGGCCACACUUCCCAGAUUCAGAUUUUCUGCACCCUUAUUCAUCACAUUUCAUGAUUACAAACUGUCUUUGUACAUAAAAUAUCUUUUAAGUCAUUGAUACCAUUCUGUUGUUUUCUCUCUUUGUCAUAGAUAAACUUACUGUUUUAAACAAGAAUACAAAAUUUUGUUGAAUCAAUAUGGGUCCCCAAAGAGGCAAAGAUUUGUAAUCACAAGAAGGAGGAUGAUCCAAAAGACAGACAUACAUAAUUUCUAUGUAUGUAUAGUUUAGUCAUAGGUAACUUUUUUGUCUCAAUAAUUUGUAUUUUUGGACUGUUCCAUUUCAAAACAAAGGGAAAAUGCAAAUAGACACAUAAUUAGCUUAUUAAUAUGUUUUUAUACACAUAACAUCGUAAGAAACUCGGGAACAUUCUCUUUAGCAUAUUCAAAACCUGUCAUGAGAUUCUGAUAAUGAAACAUAUAUAUGUUGAUACAUUUAUUUGUCAGUUUUAUGAAAUCCAUUCUUUAUAUUUGAAUAGUGUUUUGAAAUUCACUUAUUUAUAAAGGUAUUACAUUAAAUAUUUACAUUUGUUGUGUAGUUGUCAUUCAAACAUUGACAUGCAUAAUUUUACACUUAAUUUAACAAUGUAAUCAAUUUAGAGGUCAGAUUUAUUUUCAGACAGUUCUGACAUUCUAUUAAAAUAAUUAUAAAUCAUGUUGACUUCUGCAUUAAAAUCAAUUUACUGCUUUCCUGGUGUAUACAAAAUCAAAAAUCUCAUUGAAAAGAGAAUGUUAGUGAUUCAGCAAUGUCAGUUAAACACCAACUGAUAUUGAUCAAAGAUGUCUGCUUGUCACUGAACACCUUGGAACUUAACAUGUAUUAAAUGACAAAUCUUGUAAUCUAGACUUUAGUAGUAACUUAGAAUAUACGUGUGUGCUCUGUCUGAAUGAUUGAGAGACUGAGUGCGGGUUGUGAUCGUUUUGUUUAUAUAUUCUACUUACAUAUAUAUACGACUUGCAAUGUUCUAUUUCUGACAUAUGUAAUACAGUUUAACCUUAGAUUUGCUGCAUGAAGGGUAUACUUAGGUAUGAACCAGUUUAUUUUUUAUCAAGAUAGAAUUGUUUUAGAUUUUUGUGCCAUUUGCUGCAUGAUAUUCAUACAAAAGUAUGUCAUUCUUAAAAUCAUUGUAUUUUUUUGUUUAGAGGAUAUGUAUAUGCAAUAAAUAAUCAUUUUAAUAGAAGGC
rnacentral:misc_RNA from 1 species